rnacentral:rRNA from 1 species
AGUCAGUGGCCAUAAUACGAACGAACUGCCGCCCCAUGGCUUCCUCCUCUUCUUCCUCCCGUACCCUUUCGCCCUCCUCCCCCUGACCCGCCCCAACCCGCCCCGACCCGGCUGCCGCCCCGCCCCGUUCGGUCCGGCCGCCGUCCACUGCCCUCUCGCCGUCGCCGCCGUUCCCUGCUCAUCCUCGGCCGCGCCCCUCCAAAUCGCCGUCCCUCCUCGCUGCGUCAGCCGGCGCGCCCGGAUUUCCCGGGCACGGGUUCCGAGUGAACAGUCGGUACAGGGUAGAACUGCUUAAUAAUACACAUCAGUCUGAUUUUCAGGUUUUAAGCCUGGAAGAUUACCAAGACCCAAGGGAAGAGUUAAUGAAAAAGCAUUGUUGAUCCAUAAGCAAGGGAAUUGUGGUUGGCAUCAUGCCACAUAGAAAUAUGUGUUGGACACAUCAGGGUGAUAAUCUUGAAUCAGAGGAAGGACAAGCUCAGCCUGAAAAUUACAGUAAUGGUGGCACUGGGAGUAAUUUAUCCAAUCAGGGCGUGCAAGUUGCUCUUGGAGUUCCAGGAAAUACUACUAGUGAUGGAGUCCGUGACUCACGGGGUUACUAUGAGAGCAUUAAUAAUCAGCGCCAGCAUGCUCAGAAUUUAUACCCAUAUGGAGGCGUUGAUCCGAGUUUUGUCUACCCAUCGACUAUGUACAAUCCCGGAACUAGGGAUGAGAGUGGCAGCAGUAGCAGUUUUGGUGAUGCUGCCAGAGAAUCCAUGAAAAUGAGGAAUGCUGUAACCGAGAGUGGCCAUCAUUUUGAUCAUGGAUUUGCAAGCUCGAGUUCAUCUGCUCAUGUGCCUCAGAAUCCUGCACAAGGGACAUGGGGUGCUUCAUUUGAAUCACAUGGUGCACCAAAUGGCUCUUCUGCUGAUGGACCGAACAGGGCAACACCAAUGGCUACUCACCCAGCAUUGGCGCGUCAUGGUAACUAUGUAUUUCCAGCUGGUCACAUGGUCCAGGGCAAUGCAUGGACUACACACCCUGCAAAUAUUAUUGCUGACGGAGUCCCACACUGGGCAUACAACAAUGCACUCCACAAUCCUUCAGGUCAGUUUGCUCAUCCAGGAACAAUGGGCAUGCCAAAUGGUAGUCUUCAAGACUAUCAAGCUGGCCCUUCUGCUACUUUUCAUGGGCCUUUACCUCAUUUCAACCAGAUUCCUGUGCAUAGCACGCAAACUCCUGCUAUGCUUAAUCAUAUUCAGAUGCAAGGGCCUCAGCGUCAGAGCAAUGUAGUGCAAGGUGCUAACCCUUCUGGAAUGGUGCAAGGUGCAAACCCUUCUGGAAUGGUGCAAGGUGCAAACCCUUCUGGAAUGGUGCAAGGUCCAAAUCCUGCUGGAAUGGUGCAAGAUCAAGUUUACAAUGGGAGUCUAAGACUUCUUCAGCAAGCUGCUAUGGCGACUAUGUCAACAUUUUAUGAUGCAAUACAUCUUAUUGACGAACAAUGGGAUAUGGGGCUAGAUAUAGACAGCAUGACCUAUGAGGACCUUCUAGCAUUGCAAGAACAGAUUGGAGAUGUCAAUACCGGUUUGCCAGAAAGGUACAUCCAUCAAAAUCUGAGGGUACAUCAGUAUGUUGUUCCCAGGGCAGCUCGCGGGUCCGAUCAGUCUGUGGAGAAGGAUGCUUGCAUCAUAUGCCAGGAGGAGUUUGAGGCGAGAGACCUUGUAGGAACCCUCGACUGCGGUCACAAGUACCAUGAGGCGUGCAUCAAGCAGUGGCUGAUGGUGAAGAACUUGUGCCCCAUCUGCAAGGCAACAGCUUUGCCAGCAGAGUGAAGCAGCGGGUGACCGGCGCCAAUAAACCAUUUGCCGCAGCAGUGACUGAGAUUCAGCUCAGUUUCUUGUACAUAAGAGAUGUUGGAUGAUUGUGUUAUUUACCUGUAAUUUCCUGUUCGGUUUGUUGUGGACAUAGCCUGCCCCAAAACUGUAUAGCCAGAGAAUGGUUUCAUUUCCUAGACUGCUCUUAGACCCCCCCAUGGUGCCUGAACUUCUCUCAUCAUGGUUUUCCUAUUGCCCGUUUUAUCUAUUUGUACAUUGUAAUUAGACCUAUAUAUUUCCCUUUGCCAAAAAUCAGAAUUGAGAACUCAAAUGGUUCUUUCUUCUGGAUGUUCUAUAUGGUUUUCUUUCCGUUU